rnacentral:rRNA from 1 species
AUUGAACGCUGGCGGAAUGCUUUACACAUGCAAGUCGAACGGCAGCACGGGGCAACCUGGUGGCGAGUGGCGAACGGGUGAGUAAUACAUCGGAACGUGCCCAAUCGUGGGGGAUAACGUAGCGAAAGUUACGCUAAUACCGCAUACGAUCUACGGAUGAAAGCGGGGGAUCGCAAGACCUCGCGCGAAUGGAGCGGCCGAUGUCAGAUUAGGUAGUUGGUGGGGUAAAGGCUCACCAAGCCGACGAUCUGUAGCUGGUCUGAGAGGACGACCAGCCACACUGGGACUGAGACACGGCCCAGACUCCUACGGGAGGCAGCAGUGGGGAAUUUUGGACAAUGGGCGCAAGCCUGAUCCAGCCAUUCCGCGUGCAGGAUGAAGGCCUCGGGUUGUAAACGUGCUUUUGUACGGAACGAAACGGUUACGUCUCUAAUACAGGGGGCUAAUGACGGUACCGUAAGAAUAAGCACCGGCUAACUACGUAGCCAGC